rnacentral:tRNA from 1 species
ACUUCCAUAUUUAAUUGAUUACAAAGGAUUAAUUCUACGCUCUUCUAAGCCGUAGGUCACAGGUUCGAAUCCUGUAGGGCGUACCA